AAGAGCAAACGCUGCCAAGACCCCAUAGCGCAGAACGCUGCUUUAAGCGCAGUCCGGAAACCGUCGCGGCCGGCGUGGAGUGAUGACAUCACGUAGUAACGCUCGGCUUCCUCCUCCUAGCGACUAGCCGCCUUUGAAUUUCCUCAGCCCAAGAACGCAGCUUGUUAAUACGAACAUUUCGUAGCCAGGUACAAACAUUUCACAGCAAAUGUUUGUGAAUGUCUUCACAGACCUCAUCUAUUUGGUCCUCACAGAAAUUCUCGAGUAGGUAGAUAGGAGACUCUUUACUAGCAGUAGCCUCUCUUCAGGGGUAAGAAACCAGACUGAGACCUGACCCGACUGAAAAGAGGAGACCUCCUGGCUGGCUCUGGCAAAGCAAGCUGCCAUGUUAUGAACUGCGUAUUGACAAGGCCAUGUGGCAAGGAAGAGCUGACAGCCAGUGAAGAACUGAUGCCCUCAGUCCAACAGCCUGCAAGGAACUGAAUUUUGCCAAUAGCCACAUGAGAUUGGAAGUGGAUCCUUCCCAGUUGAAUUUUCAAAUGAGAACCCAGCCCUGGAUGAUCUCUCGAUUGCAGCUUUGUGAGAGAUCAUAAAGCAAAGGACUCAGUUAAUUUGUACCCAGAUUCCUGAGCCAUAGAAACUAUGAGAUAAUAAAUGUGUGUUGUUUAAGCUGCCAA